rnacentral:misc_RNA from 1 species
GAAAGUGCCUCUUUCCUGAGGAUCUGCUGUCUGCUUUCAGCCUCAGUUGGUGCUUUCCCUUCCAUUUACUCUUCCUCUGUUUACAAUUCCUCUCCUGCUUUCUCCAGAUCCCUCUUCACCACCACAGCCCAGUUAACGCAAUCAAAACUACCAUUCUAAUCGAACUCUGGGUCGCCAUUAAUUUUUUCGAUAACCCAUUUCAUCUCUCUCUCUCUCUCUCU